ACAAGAGGCAGGUUGCUGAGAGGGUAGGGGCAUUUCCCCCAUGGUUCUCUGCUGGUUCUUUUUGGCCAUGCUGGCCCCUCUGGUGUUAGCCCUGGAACGGUCUCCAGACAUGGUGAUAAAAGAAGGCCAGUCCGUGAAUCUGGAAUGUUCCAAGAAGAAAUCCUCCAGCACAGCUAUGUACUGGUUCAUGCUGCCCUCAAAGAAGAAUUCCAGUCUGACCCUACUGGCUUCUGCAGUAGAAGGUGGUAACCCAGCGGUGGAGAAGGGUUUUGAGAGCCAUUUCAAGAGCAGCAAGAUAAAAGGAGACAGAAUCACCCUCUCAGUAGAACAUGCCUUUCUCAAUGACUCUGGCACAUACUACUGUGCUGAGGGUGAGCACAGUGGUGAUACUGCUGAGGGAGCUGAGCACAAACUUCUUCCUGCAUAUACAGGACCUGCUUUCCACCCUGUGGGUGCUGCACGAGGAUUCUCACUCAUUAGUUCCUCUGCUUCCUAG